GGCCCUGGCCUGGAAUGGGCCUUGAAGGAAAGAGGAGGAGAGGGAAGGAAGGAUCCUUCAGGUGGGGGAAAUGUGCAGAGCCAAGGAGUUUGGGCUUAUGGGGUGAGAAAUGGGGAGCCACAGAAGGUGCUUGAGCAGACCACCACCCUGGUGUGCGAUGCAGUUUAGGAAGGCCCGUCUGGAAGCAGAGGGAAGGCAGACAGGAGGGAAAGAGACUGGGUCUGGGGUUCCAGUGCCAAGACUAGGUAGGCAUCUGGGACAGGAUCGAGCCUCUAAACUGCAGGAGGAACCAGGGACCAGACAGCACACGCUGAUGCAUCAGAUGCGUGCCCCACCUAACCACCACUGAAUGAAGAUACGGAACAUUUGCAUCAUCUCAGAAAGUUCCCUCAUGCUCCUCUGCAGUCCAACUCCCAGACCAGCACUGACCUAAUUUCUGUAGAUUAGUAUUGCCACUUUUGGAAUUUCAUAUGAAUAGAAGCAUUCGGAUCUGAUGCCACAGAAAUGGGUGACUGAGACAUUCCCCCAGCUACAACUCCGCCUGAGAGCGGCUGACACCUGCACAGGGACGAUAACAAGUCAGAACCUUCGGCAGCGUGGGGACCAGAACUCCCGCCCUACCAGCCAAGAGCACCCAGAUGGCUGAGAUGGUUCUUGCUUAUUCACAUCUCCAAGGAUAAAGCCUACCUGAGCCUC